rnacentral:rRNA from 1 species
GACGAACGCUGGCGGCGUGCUUAACACAUGCAAGUCGAACGGUGAAGCGCCUUCCUUUUUGGUUGGUGUGGAUGAGUGGCGAACGGGUGAGUAACACGUGAGUAACCUGCCCCCUUCUUCUGGAUAACCGCAUGAAAGUGUGGCUAAUACGGGAUAUUCUGGGUCUGUCGCAUGAUGGGUCUGGGAAAGAUAUUGUUUCGGUGGGGGAUGGGCUCGCGGCCUAUCAGCUUGUUGGUGGGGUGAUGGCCUACCAAGGCGGUGACGGGUAGCCGGCCUGAGAGGGUGGACGGUCACACUGGGACGGAGCCACGGCGCAGACUACUACGGGAGGCAGCAGUGGGGAAUAGUGAACAAUGGGCGCAAGCCUGAUGCAGCGACGCCGCGUGAGGGAUGGAGGCCUUCGGGUUGUGAACCUCUUUCGGCAGUGAAGCAGGCCUGCCUCGUUUGUGGGUGGGUUGACGGUAGCUGGAUAAGAAGCGCCGGCUAACUACGUG